rnacentral:rRNA from 1 species
UACGUAGGGGGCUAGCGUUAUCCGGAAUUACUGGGCGUAAAGGGUGCGUAGGUGGUUUCUUAAGUCAGAGGUGAAAGGCUACGGCUCAACCGUAGUAAGCCUUUGAAACUGGGAAACUUGAGUGCAGGAGAGGAGAGUGGAAUUCCUAGUGUAGCGGUGAAAUGCGUAGAUAUUAGGAGGAACACCAGUUGCGAAGGCAGCUUACUAAUCCAUCAUUGACGCUGAGGCACGAAAGCGUGGGGAUCAAACAGGAUUAGAUACCCUGGUAGUCCCUGA